rnacentral:rRNA from 1 species
GUGUCAGCAGCCGCGGUAAUACGGAGUGUGCAAGCGUUACUCGGAAUCACUGGGCAUAAAGCGCACGUAGGCGGAAAUGCAUGUCCGGGGUGAAAUCCCCCAGCUCAACUGGGGAACUGCUUCGGAAACUGCAUUUCUUGAGGACGAGAGGGGAGAGUGGAACUUCUGGUGGAGCGGUGAAAUGCGUAGAUAUCAGAAGGAACACCGGUGGCGAAAGCGACUCUCUGGCUCGUAUCUGACGCUGAGGUGCGAAAGCUUGGGUAGCAAACAGGAUUAGAUACCCCGGUAGUCC